rnacentral:lncRNA from 1 species
CCCAUGAACAUAUGGUCUAAAUCAUAUUUUCACAAAGUUAUGAUUAAGCUAAACACUUUGCAUAAAUUGCAUAAUGUGUAAAAAUAAUUGUUCUCUCAUUGAAUUAGGAUAAUGUUUUAAAAACACUUUAAAAGUGUAUUUAAAACAUUUGUUGUGAAUAAUUGCAUAAUUUUUUUAUAAUGGAUAAAUUUUACUCUACAUGCAUAAAUUGCAUAUUUUCAUAUUCUUCUUCUUUUGAUGUAAGGGCAUUAGUAAGCUCUCCCCCUAUUUUGAAGUUUGAGACUGUCCCAAUAGAAUGAUUUCACCAUUUGAGUCAUCAUAGUGGAAUCUGAAAAAUGAUCAUUCUAAAGUAAUUAUCAUCAUUUUGCAUUUACAGUGUUAUAUUAUCAAGCAGGAAGCAAAUUUUGAGUUUUUAAAAUGGGGAAAACAAAGAUAGCUUGUGCAAUCAGAGUAAGGGAAUUUCCAAAUGAAGGUCUGAAGAAGAAAACGUGAUAGUUUGUGGUGUUCCUUCUCUUCACAAAUAGUGGAAUUUGAGUCUGUUAUUACUCUUCACUGUCAUUGUAAAACACAAGUUAAAAGUCAACUGCUAAACAGCAGCCAACUAGUACUGAAUCUUUUCAAACAGAAGUGAAAAAUCUAAAUGGUCAGAAAUGGUUAGUGCCUUUUUCAGCUAUCCCAUUGAACAUUUUCAACAAUCCAUUAAUUCGUUCCUGGAUCAAAUCAAAUGUUAAGAAUGGUGACCAACUUCCAAGUGUGACAUCAUUAUGAAAGCUUUUAACUAUAGAGGGCGUAAAGGAUCUGGAGAAAACAGAUAUGCAAUCAACAGGACAUUGCUGUAAGAGUUGAUGAAACUAUGGACAUUUAAAAAUCGAAAAAUAUUGAAUGUGUUUGUGUGCCCUUUAGGCAAGCCACAAAGUCAUAAGUUUGUUUUGGUGUCAUCUACCAUUGUGGAAUUAUAUAAUGCAGAUGCUAUUGUUGAACCUGUUCUAUCAGCUCGAGUUGAUUUGAUGUUCCUAGAAAUCGAUUUAUAGUCUUUGUAACAGAUGAUGCACUUUCCAUGAAAGCAGCAGGCUUGGGAUUGACGGCAGCUGGUACAAGAAUUACGAUAACCAUUUGCUGGGCUUGAUGUUGCAUCUGGAAGCUGAAGAGAUGAGGGCUAAUUACAAAACUCUCGACAGAUACAUAGCAUGCUUUAAAAUGGCAUUGUGCAAGGCACCAAGUCGAAGACAGGAUUUUCAAGUGUUUGCUGGAAGUGGGAAAACCUAUAGCAUUUUACCUCCUGUCUGUUAUAACAAGAUGGUGUACAUGAUUAGAAACUGCUUUUUACCAUAGAAAUAAUUUUUCUGAAGAGAAAAAAAUUGGAUUCUUCAUAAUAGUGAUGCCAGUACUGCAUUAAAUGAGUUAAAGGAUCUGGUUUUCUCUAAGCUUACAUUUGAACUGGAUAGUUUAUUCUGUGUCAAAUGAAAUAUGCAAAUAUCUUAAAUUUUAAAAUUGAAAUACAGCAGCUACAGACAUUUGGAUAAUUCUAGAAACCCUUAGGGAACUGUUGUCAUAUAAUGAAAUUCUUUACACAAAACUGAAGGCUUAUAUGAAUGGCAGGCAUUCAAACUGUGAAUUUUGGAAGCAAGUUUUAGUAUUAGACCCCUGGAAGGCCUCUCCUGCUUCUUUUGAACAACUAGCUCUUCCAACUGAGCUGAAGCAUUUUAAUCUUCACCCAAUUCCUCAGGGAGAGAUAGCUACUUAAAAAGCUAUGCUAUACUAAUAAGACUAUUAGCUCAUCCAUAGAUAAUGUAUUUGUAUUCUGGAAAAAAACAAAUACCUGAUGCCAAAUCUUUCUGAAGUUGCUUUAAAGGCAUUAAGAGUUCCAGCAAGCAGUGCAGAUGUAGAGCAGAGUUCUCCUUUAUUAAAACGAAUCUUAAAACCUGAACAAAGCUCGCUCACCACAGAAAAUUUGGAUGUUCAUUUAAGAAUUGUUUUUAAUAAGUAAUUCAAUUCAAAUGAUUCAGAUGAAAGCACUGAAAAUGAUGAUGAAUAAUCGUUUUUAAAAUAUUUAAUUUUAAUAAUUAACAAUAAAAUAAACAUUUUAAAUGUUAAUGCUGUAAUUUUGCAUAAUUUCAAGGCAUUUUGUGCAUAAAAUUUUAAGUUUUGCAUAAAGCUAUUGACUCUAGUUAUGAUCCUUUUAAAGCUACCCAGAGUACACAAAGCAUCACGAUGCAUUGUAUCGCUUACAUUUUACUGCUGUUGCAUCCUAAUUGAUUUAAACUGUAAAUAAAGUUAACUUUUUCAACUCAUUUUUUUGAAAGAAAAUUACAAAUUUUAUUAAGACAAAUUUUAACAAGGAUUAAAGGUUUCAUGUGUGUUGGAUUUAUUUCAUUACUAUGAAAUGAAAUAACUACUGUUCUGAUUGGC